CUGGAAGACGCGGCACUCAGCCUGCCAGAGGGUGUUAAACCAACGCCUCUACCUGCAUCACUAACCAGACCAAAGAUACCAGAGCAGGCCCCGGGACAAAAGAUGUGUGUGUUUGUUUGUCUGUUUGCGCUCCUGUGUGGGCAGACGGGUGUUGCCCGGGCUACAGACAGAGGGAGCGCCUGCUGCCAGGCUCCCAGACAGACAGACACACGGCCGCCUGUCUCAGGACGCGAGAGGGAGACCGAAAUGGUGACAGGCCACGGGGGAAAUGAAGAACUACACAAAAGUCCAAGAAGAGCCCCUGGCACGGAGUAGGACAGUAGGCCGACAGUGUGAUCGUUCGUCGCUCGUGUCCUGCAACCAUUCACUACCCACUCUUGAAUUAUGGAACUGGAAUAAAGGAGAAGAAAGCGAUGACGCAAUCAACCGAGUGCUGCGUUUCGAUUACGAUUCUGGAAGAGAAUUGUAAUUGAACAGAGUGGAUCCUCGACGUUCCAUAAUGGUGUUAACCUACGGAAUAGCUUGAUUGGCUUUAUUCAUUAAUGAGCAAAGGCUCUGGCAAAUUAAGGCAUUGUAAAAUAUUUCUUAUCAAAAUGUAUACAUAUAUAUAUAAUAUAUUAACUUCCUCUCAGGCAUUGUGUUUUGUGUUUUAUGCUAACUUACAAGGGCUACUGAUAUUAAAAGGUACCUUCUAAACUGCUACAGGUGGCCAUUGAAAUUAAUAGGACCAGAAUGGUGAGUUGUGUGAGCCUUUA
ensembl:lncRNA